GGCCUGGGUCAGAUCUCAUAAAGCUUGUAAGUCACGGAGGAUUAGCCCUGAGCUAACUACUGCCAAUCCUCCUCCUUUUGCUGAGGAAGACUGGCCUUGAGCUAACAUCCAUGCCCAUCUUCCUCUGCUUUAUACGUGGGACACCUACCACAGGAUGGCUUUUGGCAAGCGGUGCCAUGUCUGCACCAGGGAUCCGAACCCCAAGCCGCCGAGAAGCCGAACGUGCAAACUUAACUGCUGCUCCACCGGCCGGCCCCUACAAAUGAAUUUUUUAAACAACACUCUGAAAUAGGAGUAGUUAAGAGCUUUGUAAUUUAAUAUUUCACAUAUCUUUUUAUCUGGAUUACAUCAAAACACAUAUUCACACCCUCUAGAUAAUAUCCUGAUAUUUUUAAACGAAAUAAAAUAUUUUUGUAUUCAAACCACUUACAACUGGAAUUAUCUACAACUUAGUAAUAGUGUGCCAG
rnacentral:lncRNA from 1 species